rnacentral:rRNA from 1 species
UACGAAGGGGGCUAGCGUUGUUCGGAAUUACUGGGCGUAAAGCGCACGUAGGCGGACUUUUAAGUCAGGGGUGAAAUCCCGGGGCUCAACCUCGGAACUGCCUUUGAUACUGGAAGUCUUGAGUAUGGAAGAGGUAAGUGGAAUUGCGAGUGUAGAGGUGAAAUUCGUAGAUAUUCGCAGGAACACCAGUGGCGAAGGCGGCUUACUGGUCCAUUACUGACGCUGAGGUGCGAAAGCGUGGGGAGCAAACAGA